AAAAGGCAGGAUCUCAGAAGAAGAAAAAGACAACUUCUCCUGCUUUUUCAACUCCCAACUGAUUUUUCAACAUUGAAUGAAUUAGUCCAAAUGAAGAAAAUAGUCUCUCUGUGCCUGCAGAAGCAGCUACUGCUAUCAAAAACUGGUUUAGCCCUUCAACAAAUUCUGAUUCCAGGUGCUUAGCCAGUGACUUCCCCCGGUUCAGUUGUUGACAACGAUUAGGAGAAUUCUUUAUUAGGACCCUGUCCCCCUCCCAUACAGGUUCACCCCCUUAAAUUAGCUUCUAUCAACUAUGGCAAUCCCCAAAAAUCACAUUAAUCACUGUUAAAGGUGAAAAAUAAAUACGGUUUAUUAUAAAUAAGGCUACAUUUUAGUCACGCGUAGUUUUAGUAAAAGUCAUGGACAGGUCAUGGGUGAUAAACAAAAAUUCAUGGCCCAUAACCUGUCCAUGACUUGUACUAUAUAUCCCUGACUAAAUCUUGACUUCCAUGACAAACUCACAACCUUAAUUAUAAACACUUGGUGGUUUAAAACCCAGAUAGGUUUUAAGCCCAGACCCAAACUAAAAGCAUACGUGGGUUAUAAAAGACCACAAGUAAGUUAUUUACUUUACUGAGUCUUGUGGAGGAAUGGAGCCAAACAAAUCUGGAUCCGGAGCCUCAGGAGCUCGAACCAGGACCAACAGGAAACCAGGGACCCAGGAACCACAGGAUGACAUGCCACAGUGGAGAUCUCAGGAAAAGUGGAUUACAGACUCAGACCAUGUCUACCCUACAAACUUUGGUUGAUGCAAGUUACAUCGGUGUACAACAAUCAAAGUUUGUACAUUGCUUAUAAAGAGCUUGCUGCAUGCACUGGCAAAGCACAUACUCACCAGGAGUGCUUACAUCAGUGUAAAGUGCAGUGCACUAUGGGCAGGUAACCCAGAGUGCCACACAUUUCCAUGCGGCAUGAUGCCUUUUCGGACAUUUUUGCAUUGUUUAGUGCGAUAGUAAACAUUCACCCAAGAAUUUUUGCAGGGUGGAUACAAAUUGAUUUAAAAAUAUAUAUAUAAAAUCAGAUAUUUGUAUUUAAAUUGCAUUUUUGUUUUGUUAUUUAAAGUAAAAGCUAUAACAAACUGUGAAAAAAAAUUCAAGUGUCAAAUGCAUAGCUUUGGCACAGAUGAUGCAAAUGCAGCCAAGAAGAGAAGAAAUCUUAAGUACAACUCCAGGAAUAAAGGACGUCAUCGAAAUUGCAAAAAUACUUCUGUAAUAACCACUUUGCUUCAGCUUCGCUAAAGAGAGCAGGAGGAUCCAAACUAAUUCUCCCCCAGAAUGUACAAUGGAAUUUAGUAGUUGACUGUUUUGAGCUAUUUAUAAAGAUCUGGCCUAUUCUGAUGACAAUUUCUGAAAAAAAUCAUGACAAAAUAGAUGGAACUGUCACAGCCAAAGUAAUCAACACUGGACUAAAGAGAAAUGUAGAAGACAGGCUGAACAUACUGAAACCAGUUUCCAUAGCCUUGGACAAACUGCAGAAAGAUUGCUGCUGUAUUGCUGAUGCUGCUGAAAUUUGGAAAGAAUUUCAAGAGACAUUGAAGAAAGAAAUGUCCCACAACAAAGUUAAAUUGCAGGCAGUAAAGAAGUGGAUGGAUCAAGCACGUAUUCCACCUCAUUUUCUUGACAAUAUUCGCAAUCCAAAAUAGCAGGGUAGAUGCCUAACUGCUGAAGAAGAUGCUGCUGCUAUGAUCUGGGCAUUUAAGAAUCACUAGGGCUGUCAAGCGAUUA